rnacentral:rRNA from 1 species
UACGUAGGGGCAAGCGUUGUCCGGAAUAAUUGGGCGUAAAGGGCGCGUAGGCGGCAAGGCAAGUCAGCAGUGGAAGUCCCAUUUUCAAGGUGGGGAGGGCUGUUGAAACUGCGUUGCUUGAUUGCAGGAGAGGUUAUCGGAAUUCCCGGUGUAGCGGUGAAAUGCGUAGAGAUCGGGAGGAACACCAGUGGCGAAGGCGGGUAACUGGACUGCAACUGACGCUGAGGCGCGAAAGUGUGGGGAGCAAACAGGAUUAGAUACCUGGUAGUCCCU